rnacentral:rRNA from 1 species
UACGUAGGGGGCUAGCGUUGUCCGGAAUCAUUGGGCGUAAAGCGCGUGUAGGCGGCCCGGUAAGUCCGCUGUGAAAGUCGGGGGCUCAACCCUCGAAUGCCGGUGGAGUACUGUCGGGCUAGAGUACGGAAGAGGCGAGUGGAAUUCCUGGUGUAGCGGUGAAAUGCGCAGAUAUCGCUUGGAACGCCAACGGUGAAAACAGGUUGCUGGGGGUGUGACUGACGCUGAGACACGAAAGCCAGGGGAGCAAACGGG